rnacentral:lncRNA from 1 species
UAGAGGUCCAACACAUAAGGAUAUAGAACUCACAUUUAACUUCCGCUACUCAUAAUGCCUCUUUUAUUGAAUGAUUUCUCCAACAAGCUUUUAGUACCAAAAUUUAAUCUUUCCCAUCAUAGUUUUAAUAACUUCCUAAGAGCCAAUAUAUGGUAUUCUCAUUUUUUCCCUUUUUCCAAAUUUUAGGAAAACUCAAUUAUUUUCCAAUUUGAAGUUCAAGAUACUAUUCAUAUUCUCCAAAACUUCGUCUCACGUCUUGAUUUGAACAAUUCUCUAAUCAAAUCUUCUUCUUCUUAUUUUUUUUCCAUAACAA